rnacentral:snRNA from 1 species
AGCACCUCUCAGUCUUUUGGCUAAGAUCAAGUGUAGUAUCUCUUCUUAUCAGUUUAUAGUCUUCUGUACUUAUGUGGGUUGUAGUGGCUUGUGUCACCUCUGCUAUAAGGUGUAUGUGUAAAAAUCUUUGGGGGUAUCCACC